CUCAGUUUUCCUUCCGGCAAGAUAAACAAAUCGACACCGAUAAAUCUGAGUGGAAACAGGGCUGUCAAAUGUUAUCUUCCGGACUUGGGAUUAGAAACAAGGGGAAUGUCGCAGAAGUCAUUUGGCACCAGGAGGGCUGUGCAUGCCCUUGUCUCUCUGCCUCAUCCUUUGCUGCACUUUCCUCCAAUACCCUCUUAAAUUGCUUCAGCAGAUCUAACCUCUCCAGAGACCGGAGACAGGCACAAAGCUUUACGCCGGACACUGCCAGGCCCACGUCCGUGUGGGCGUUGAAUGGAUGCUACGUGAUGGCAGAAUGAGUCACUGAGAUUUAGGCGGAGAGUUUGGAGGAAGGUGCUAAUGAAAAGGGCUCUGGUGCUGCAGGAGACAUACGCAGGUCAGGAAUAAUGACGUCAGCCCGGAGCCAGUGUUUAAAAAUAGUGAAGCUCUUCUAUGAAUCAAAAUGAUUCUAUGGGGAAAAAACUAAACUGGUGAUGGAAGGUUAUAUUGCUUUGUAAAAGAAAAAGUAAUUUAUGCUCGACUUCAAGAAAAGCAAAAGUUACAAAUCAAAAUAAACUCAGAAGUGCUUGAAGUAGGCAGAAACUCAUCAAAA